rnacentral:rRNA from 1 species
UACGGAGGGGGCUAGCGUUGUUCGGAAUUACUGGGCGUAAAGCGCGCGUAGGCGGCCCUGCAAGUCGGGGGUGAAAGCCCGAGGCUCAACCUCGGAACUGCCUUCGAUACUGCGGGUCUCGAGUCCGGGAGAGGUGAGUGGAAUUCCUAGUGUAGAGGUGAAAUUCGUAGAUAUUCGCAAGAACACCAGUGGCGAAGGCGGCUCACUGGCCCGAUACUGACGCUGAGGCACGAAAGCGUGGGGAGCAAACAGG